rnacentral:lncRNA from 1 species
GUUAACAUGUUAUCUAGAGCGUUCUAAAGUAACUAUUGACUUUUUUUUGCCUACGUUUACUGACACCGGUCAUAUUCAGCAGGUGUUGCUCAUUAGACAAAUUCAUCAGUUGUUCUGCGCUCUGGCAGACUCAGACUCAGUGCUCUGAAGUUAGAAUAAAUAGCCCGAGUGAAUUUGCAAACGCAAGAGAUAUGCUAACUGGAUAACAGUCAUUCAAGUUCUUACUAGCUAACCAAAUGACACCUGCAUCUCUAGCUGUGUAUAUCCACCGAAAAACGAUAUGAGGGGAACAAAGAACGUGUUUCCACUGCUCCAGAGUCCAAUGGCGGCGAGCUUUACACCGAUCCAGCUGACGCUUGUUAUUGCGCAUGGUGAUCUUAGGCUUGUGUGCGGCUGCUCAGCCAUGGAAUCCCAUUUCAUGAAGUUCCCGACGACCAGUUCUUGUGCUGACGUUGUUUCCAGAGGCAGUUUGGAACUCUGAAAGUGACUAGCAGAGAUCCAGUGCCACCCAGAGGGAGUCAACUCAUGCCAGUGCCACCCAGGGGGAGUCAACUCAUGCCAGUGCCACCCAGGGGGAGUCAACUCAUGCCAGUGCCACAUCAAGUAGGGAGCCAAGGGUGCUGACUGAUACGGUCCUGAAAAAACAAGAUGCCAUCAAUAACUCCAUCCUCCAAAUGAACAAUAAAUUGAAUGUGAUUUGCAUUCCAUUAAAUAACACAAAGGAUUCGCUAAAGCAACUGGUCACAUGUGCAAAUCAAAUGUUCUCUUGGAUGAAUAAAUUAUCUAAACUACAA